rnacentral:rRNA from 1 species
UACGGAGGAUCCGAGCGUUAUCCGGAUUUAUUGGGUUUAAAGGGUGCGCAGGCGGGAGAUUAAGUCGGCGGUGAAAUUUUGCAGCUCAACUGUAAAAGUGCCUUCGAAACUGGUUUCCUUGAGUGUAGCUGAAGUAGGCGGAAUUUGUGGUGUAGCGGUGAAAUGCAUAGAUAUCACGAGGAACUCCGAUUGCGCAGGCAGCUUACUAAACUACUACUGACGCUCAUGCACGAAGGCGUGGGGAUCAAACAGGAUUAGAUACCCGCGUA